ensembl:lncRNA
CAGGUUUGGUUAGCAUCUCAAUGGAUACUUUCCUGCAACAGGUUACACUUAAUUUUAGCCAUUCAGUUAGUCUUUUAGAAGUCAUAGCCUGUCAAGUAAGCCCACCUCCAUGAAAACAAGAAUUUUAAUACUGUUUUUUUCCCUGCAAAGCAUUUCUGUAGAUUUCGUAACUCAGACCAAAGGUGGAAAUUUUCUUAGAUACCUUUUAAUAUCUGUAGUGAUGACAAUCCACACCUGAACCAGCCACUCUAGGGUCUCUUGCACAUAAUUAAAUUAAAAAAAAAAAAAAAAAAGAAAAAAAAGAAAAACAGAAAGAUUGAUAUGUUCAGGAUACAACUAAAAUCAUCCUGAAAUAAGCAUGAAAACUUGAUCUUAGAAAUUAAACUCUGAAACUGUUUAUUUUCAGUGGCCAUAGCAAAAGAUCAGUAGAACUAGCUAUAGAUAUGUUAACAGCUACAGACAACAGCAGACCUCUUCUGGAUGAAUCCCAAUCAAAAUCUCUUUCCUCCAGUAUGGAGAACGCAUAACACAGUAUUUUGGGUGCCAGCUAAUAAGGAAUUUAAAUAAUUUAGUGGCCAUUGGCUUCAUGAUUUCUAUUUUCUUCCUCUCUCUCUCUUUUUUUUUUUCUCUAAUCACUAAAAAUAAAGCAUUACUACAUAUUCAAUUUUAUCUCUUUUCUUCCUUGUAAAGCUUUUCCUCUGCGCAACUUACGAGAACUGAUGAAGAUCCAUCUUUCACAGUGCUUUUUUACCUAACAGAUGUCUAGACAGUUAAAGCACCACAUGAAUACUGUAUCCUGUAUCCAGCUUUUGAGUAGCCGGUCUAAGGAAUUUAUAUUUUCUUCCAUUUCAAAGUCUGCAACAUAUGCCUACUGUUGUCUUUCAUCCCUUGUAAUUUAAUCCAAAGUAUUCUACCAUUCUGUUAUUCAUUAUCAAAUUGUAUCUCAGUGUCAGUGCAAACAUGAAACUAUUCAUGACUCCAGUGAAUAGCUGUAAUAAGAAAAACAGAAUAAAUGUAAAUAAAUGAAACAGCCCUCUUACACAUUUACUGCCUUAAAACUCUUGUAAAUUGGACCUCUCUCUGAGGUCUAAGCAAUGGCCCCAAAAGUUUUUCAAACAAUGCUUUAAGGAGCACAGAUCAGAUAACACAACUGUAACUGCAGCAGUCUGCAGUCCCACAAAUUUUUUACUUCACGGAUCUAUUCUAGACUUAAGAGCUGUAAACUCCUAACUCUAUCCUGGCUUCUCGAACACUGAAUGGAGUCAUGAAUUGGACACAAUCCCUGUAGGUCCCUUCCAAUUUGGGAUACUCUAUGCUACUAUAAUCCCUGAAUCCCAUUAAAUCUGUCAAAUAUGAAGAUACUUGCCCACCACAUUAUACUGUACAUUAAGUUUAUUCCAACAAGAGAAAUCUCUUUAAGUUUUAUUAUAGGAAUACCUAUCAGUUUUAUUUUUUGUUUAAUAAUAUGAAACAUUCCAUAAAGAUCAAAAACCUUAAUUACCUCUCUUUACCUAAUCCUCUGGGCAUUUUAAACCUUUUUUCUGGUUCUGGACAUGGCUUUUCUUUUAUUCAUUGCUGCUCACCAGCCAUCCUUUUAAGAGGAAUCAUAUCCAACAUGUUAGGUAGCUUUACAAGCCAGUGGGAUACUGUUUGCAGACUAGUUUUAGUCUCAGGAAUACAUAGAACUUACAGUAAAAACAACAAAUAAAUAACUUACUAAUAUGCAGUGCUAAAUUGUGUAAAAACAAAGAUUGUGCAAAAAUGACGUCUUAUUAGGUUUAUUCCCUCUUCUGCCACUUUCUACUGAUUUCAGUUGUAAGUCUUUGCUGUUGAUCUGUCCUUACAACUCUAACACAGUCACAAACUAGAAUCUGCUCUUGUGUAUGCUUUUCCAAGUAAUUGUUAAUUAUGCUCCAAAUAAUUGUACUGAUACACACCAGUCUGAAUUGCAAGGGUUGCAUAUCUAUCAAUGAGUGCAUCAUUUCAAGAGGAAGUCUUUACCCAGAGACAAUCAGGGAAAAAUUAUCCUUUUCAAGCAUCUCUCAUUCAGAAACGCUGGAAGAAUUCUGCUUGACUCUGAGGCAUGUCAUGUUUGGAAAAAUCACCUGAUAUAGAACAGUACAGGAUUCUACAUUAGACUGACCUUCAUAAAGGAAGGUACAGAACCAAGUAAAAUUAGCAGUUUUUAUUUUGUGCAUUUAACUGUAACUUCAAUACAAUCCUGAUAGAGAAAGGCAACAAAAGACAGGUCAGGACAUCUCCUUGAAUUAAUUUACUGUCAAAGAAACAAUGAUUUUAUUACUGGUAGUUACCACUCUGUAGGAAACCACCGUAAUAGUUCAACAUUUUCUGUGUGGGAGUGAAUCCCAGAACUUCUACGUUAAUGGCGUGCUUUGGGUAGUGUGGGCAGCCUUAUGGAAACUUCAUUAAAGGAAGGAUUUUUUCCAGGCUUCUUUUCUCAUGGACUGAAUAUCUCUGGAGACCAAAAUGAAAGCAAGAUGUCCCUCAGACCUGAGAUACAGGCUGAAUUCAUGGAAAGGAUACACAUUUUGUGUGCCUGAAAUAGCACCAGCAUGAAACAUGGGAUAUUUGCCCACAGAAAGGCGCAAUUUGGACUAAAUUACUGAUACAGGAAACCAAAAGUAUUCCAGAGAUUGCUUCAGAAGAAAGUGUACAAGAUGAUGAUCAGGGGGCUGGAGCACCUCUCCUAAAGGGACAGGCUGAGAGAGCUGGGGCUCUUCAACGUGGAGAAGAGAAGGCUCUGAGCGGACCUUAUAGCAGACUUCCUGAACCUGAAGGGGCCUACAGGAAAGCUGGGGAAGGACUUUUAUAAGUGACAGGAUGAGAGGAAAUGGCUUUGAGCUGGAAGAGGGUCACAUUUAGACUAGAUAUAGGGCAAAAACUCUUUACUGUGAGGGUUGUGAGACACUGGCACAGGCUGCCCAGAGAGGUUGUGGAUGCUCUGUCCCUGAAGGCCAGGAUGGAUGCAGCCCUGGACAGCCUGGUCUAGUAUCAAAUGUGGAGGUUAG